rnacentral:rRNA from 1 species
UACGAAGGGGGCUAGCGUUGUUCGGAUUUACUGGGCGUAAAGGGCGCGUAGGCGGCAUGACAAGUCACUUGUGAAAUCUCUGGGCUUAACCCAGAACGGCCAAGUGAUACUGUCGCGCUAGAGUGCAGAAGGGGCAAUCGGAAUUCUCGGUGUAGCGGUGAAAUGCGUAGAUAUCGAGAGGAACACCAGAGGUGAAGACGGGUUGCUGGGCUGACACUGACGCUGAGGCGCGAAAGCCAGGGGAGCAAACGGG